UGCCCUUCUAGAAUAUAUCAAGUUGCUCUGUGAAGAGAGUUGAACCAGGUUCUUAACCCAGUUUCUCCUACAAAGCUCUACUGUUUUCCCAGCCUCAGCCAAGGGCAUCCCCUUGGAGCUCCAUACCUCAAGGGAACGUCUGGUGGAGACCCCCUCCUGGGAAGGCUUCCAGAACGCCUGGCCCAGCCCAACUGCGGACCAACAGUGGACCACGAGGCAGCUCGACCCCACAAAGGACCCAUUGUGGGACUGCAGAAAGCUAAGACCAAACCCUGUUGGCCUCUCUGCAGAGCCCUGUCCAAGGCUCCCAGCGCCCCCCCCCCCUUCUGUAGUGCCCUCAGACCCAGAGGACAAGGACAAGGCCAGAGGCAGGGAGAGGAACACAGGCUACGUUAACCUGCAAGCCUCCAGCCGCUGCCAGAAAGGCUGGAGCUGCCAGCUCUGCUGCUCUGAGCGGUCAGGCGGGGUGGCUCAGCCUCACCUGUCAGCUGGUGUGGGGUCCGCUAAAGGAGGCUCGGGAGGGAGGAGGGGGUGCUGGUUGGUUCCCAACUGGAGGAAACCUGUUUCCCGUGCCGGGACGGAGGGAAUGCAAGUCGCCCAGCAGGAGCAGCUGCCAUGUGGUGAGGCCACUCUGGGAGAAGCCAUGAGAGGGAGCUUGCAAGUGAAUCUGCUGUGCCUGACAACAGCCAGAGGACUGCGCUUGGAAAUGGGAUGUACAUAGCCCUGGUGGACAGCUUGAUUGUGACCUCAGGGCACACUUUGGCCCAGAGGUGCUCAGCUGAACUGCGUCUGGAUGCUGGGACAUGUAAACGUCUGUUGUUUUAAGCCUCCAAGUUUGGGAUAAUUGCUGAUGUGUCAAGAGGCAGCAACCACACUGCCCUAGAAGCUGGUUGUGAAGAUUACAUAGUAUGCUUAAUGCUUGAUGCAUAGUAGGUACUAAUUAAAGCUUGCUGAAUGAAUCAAUCAAUAAAUGAAACAAUGUCCUACAAUGUAGGAGAUUUCCUGAAUCCAUGUGUUCAAGCCCUUCUACCCACUUCUGCCAAAAAACAUCACUGAGAGUUGUUUAAAGCUGGAAAAAUCUGGGUCAGAUUUGUUUUCUGUUAUGGGAGACUGGUUUCUGUUCCAUGGGUAUGACUGGCUUAGCCAUGAUCUGGAUGAAGAGGGAUUACAAAAUAAUAAUCCUUUGUCAACUCAGAGACUGCUUGGGAACACUGGCCUUGUAAUAAGCAGGUCUCUGAAGCUGUGACUCCCCUUCCUCGCUCUAUUAAAGUCUCCUGACCAAUCAGAAGACA